GGCCACGUAGCUCAGUUGGCUAGAGCGUUGGCUGUACUAAAGCCUUUAUCUUGCUGGCGUGCGUUCGAAUCUAACCGAGGCCA
rnacentral:tRNA from 1 species